GACGAACGCUGGCGGCGUGCCUAAUACAUGCAAGUAGAACGCACAGUUUAUACCGUAGCUUGCUACACCAUAAACUGUGAGUUGCGAACGGGUGAGUAACGCGUAGGUAACCUGCCUGGUAGCGGGGGAUAACUAUUGGAAACGAUAGCUAAUACUGCAUAAUAUUGAUUAUUGCAUGAUAAUUGAUUGAAAGAUGCUAUUGCAUCACUACCAGAUGGACCUGCGUUGUAUUAGCUAGUAGGUGAGGUAACGGCUCACCUAGGCGACGAUACAUAGCCGACCUGAAGGGGUGAUCGGCCACACUGGGUCUGAGACACGGCCCAGACUCCUGCGGGGGGCAGCAGUAGGGAAUCUUCGGCAAUGGACGAAAGUCUGACCGAGCAACGCCGCGUGAGUGAAGAAGGUUUUCGGAUCGUAAAGCUCUGUUGUAAGAGAAGAACGGGUGUGAGUGUAGAAAGUACAAACUGGGACGGUAUCUGACCAGAAAGGGACGGCUAACUACGU
rnacentral:rRNA from 1 species